rnacentral:lncRNA from 1 species
GGGGAGUCAGACACAGACCUGGCUCCUGGCUUCAGAUCCCUGUGACUACCAAAGAUGCUCACAGCAGGGUUAGCUGUGCUUGGAGACAGGUUAGAGAUGAAGCAACACUGAAGAUGGUCUGAAGUCAGGGAUGAAGAAGAAUGAUUGGACUUGGUGUUGGGUGAAGAAAAUGGAUGACUCAGGGAUGACACUCGGAUUCCUGGCUCUGAUAACCAGCCACAGGACGUUCAAAGAUUCCAGCUUUGCUCCAGCCUCCCAGCGUCCACUCCAGCUUCUCUUGGCCUAGAAGAUUCUCCCCUGGGAUGUGGAGUUCACUCUGCGACAUGUCCUGCCCCGCCCUCCAGCUCCUCAGUGAUGCCUACCCUGUCCACUCUCUUCAGUAUCUUCAGAAAUACUGAAUAGUUGCUGUUUACAAUGUUUACUGUUUGUCUAUCCUACUGGAAUAUAAGCUCCCCAAGGGUAGCGAUUCUUUAUGAUUUCACUGAUAUAUCCUAAGCGUCCAAUAGAUGCACAAAGAUAUUUGUUGAAUUGAACCGUUCACAGGUUACCAGCUAGCUCCUAAUGGGUUAAGCGGCAUAGAAGUUGUUUUCCCUUAAAACAACUGCUGUGAACAGAGAGUGCUUGUACUGCCCUGAAUGAUGGGGGAAGAGUGGGGGUGGAGAGGGUACAGCAGGGAAACCAAAAUUAGGGGGAAAAAUCCAUGUGAACACUUAAAGAGUCUUUUUGUGCUGCUGAUUUUGUAUUUCAG